rnacentral:tRNA from 1 species
AUCAUGGUGGCUGAGUGGUAAAGCGCUUGGCUUCCGAACCGAAGGGUUCCGGGUUCAAGUCCUGGUGAAGACU